GAUGAACGCUGGCUACAGGCUUAACACAUGCAAGUCGAGGGGAAACGGUAUUGAGUGCUUGCACUGAAUGGACGUCGACCGGCGCACGGGUGAGUAACGCGUAUCCAACCUUCCCGUUACUGCGGGAUAACCUGCCGAAAGGCAGACUAAUACCGCAUGUUCUUCGAUGACGGCAUCAGAUUCGAAGCAAAGACUCGUCGGUAACGGAGGGGGAUGCGUCUGAUUAGCUAGUUGGCGGGGCGACGGCCCACCAAGGCGACGAUCAGUAGGGGUUCUGAGAGGAAGGUCCCCCACAUUGGAACUGAGACACGGUCCAAACUCCUACGGGAGGCAGCAGUGAGGAAUAUUGGUCAAUGGGCGGAAGCCUGAACCAGCCAAGUAGCGUGCAGGACGACGGCCCUACGGGUUGUAAACUGCUUUUAUGCGGGGAUAAAGUGAGGGACGUGUCCCUUUUUGCAGGUACCG
rnacentral:rRNA from 1 species